GCAAAUCAAUUUAAAUUGAAUAAAUUUUAUUUAUUAAUUUUUUUUAUUAAUAAUUUAAAAUAUUAAAAAUAAUUAUAAAAAAAAUUAGUUUUAGUAUAUUUUAUAAAAAAAAUAAUUUUUAUGAUAGUUAAUUAUGUAUUGUGAAAGAAUAUUGAAAUAAUUUGAAAAAUUUUUAUAUUAAAAGAAAAUUUAAUUAAUUGUACCUUGUGUGUCAGGGUUUAUUAAAUAAUUAAUAUAAAUUUAUUAAUCUCGAUUUUGUAAGAGUUAAUAAUUUAUAAAAAUUAAUGUGUUAAAAUUAUUUUUAAUAAAUUAUUAGAAAUGAAAUGUUAUUCGUUUACAAAGGUAUCUAGUUUUUUUAGAAAUAAAUUUAAUUUACAAAUUUUUAAUUUUUUAUUUAAUUAAAUAAAUUAAAAAAAUUAUUAAUUUGAAUAUUUUAAGGGAUAAGCUUUAAAAUAAAUUAGUUAAAAAUUAAUAAAUUUUAAAUAAAUUUGUAUGCUUAUAAUUAGCAAUCAAUAUAAAUAUUGUUAUAAAUUAUUUAUAAUUUAUAAUAUUUAUUAAAUUUUAAUUUUUUAUAAAAAUAUAUUAUUUAAUAAUUUAAUAAUAUAAAUAAUGAUAAAAUUAGUAUAUACAUUAAAGUAAGUAUAAAUAUAGAUGAUAAGUUUAUUUAAAGAACUCGGCAAAUAUUAUACUCGCCUGUUUAACAAAAACAUGUCUUUUUGUUUUGUAUAUAAAGUCUAACCUGCCCAAUGAAAAAUUUAAUGGCCGCAGUAUAUUAACUGUGCAAAGGUAGCAUAAUAAUUAGUCUUUUAAUUGAAGGCUGGAAUGAAUGGUUGGACGAAGUAUAAACUGUUUCAUAUAAAUUUAAAAUAGAAUUUUAUUUUUUAGUUAAAAAGCUAAAAUUUUAUUAAAAGACGAGAAGACCCUAUAAAUCUUUAUAAUUUUUUAUAUAUAAAUUUUAUAGGCAUAAUUUAUUUUAAUAAAAAAAAUUAUUUUAUUGGGGUGAUAUUAAAAUUUAAUAAACUUUUAAAUUUGAAUUCAUUAAUUUAUGAAUUAUUGAUCCAUUAAUAAUGAUUAUAAGUUUAAGUUACUUUAGGGAUAACAGCGUAAUUUUUUUGGAGAGUUCUUAUCGAUAAAAAAGUUUGCGACCUCGAUGUUGGAUUAAGAUUAUUUUUAGGUGUAGCUGCUUAAAAAAUAAGUCUGUUCGACUUU
rnacentral:rRNA from 1 species